rfam:Dipodomys ordii contig_51281, whole genome shotgun sequence.
GGGAAAGUGGCUCAGUGGUAGAGUGCUUGCCUAGCACGCAUGAAGCCUUGGGUUCGAUUCCUCAGUACCA